AGAUAUCUUGUUGUUGCUGGGGACGGAGGGGGGAAGUGGUUCCAUGCACCGAAUCCGGGGAGAAAGAAAGAAAGGAAAUCCGCCCGCGGAAUCCGUGCAGAAAGGAGGCAGAUUUCUCGUCGUGUGUGUGGGAUGGGAAAAUCUCACCUGAAGAAACGGAGGGAACACUCUGGAGCCAAGAUCCCCACCUUUUCACCACGGAUUCGCACCGAAUUCCGCAGGAGGAGGAGGAGGAAGAAGAAGAAGAAGAAGAAGGUGGAGAACCGAGAGGAGGAAGAUGGUGGCUCUCAGAUGAGAUGAGAUGAGAUGAGAUGAGAUGAAAUGAGUUGAACUCAGGUCAGAUCCAGCAGUAAAGCUAGCGGUGGCGGCAUUGAAGGCGGGCCGCGGAAACAACAACAACUGGACUGGAGUAGUAAACCAAAAGAGAUUCCCCUCCUCCUCCUCCUCCUCCCGUGACCGCCCCGCCCGUGAUCCCCCACUGAUGAUGACGACGAUGAUGGCUUUGUAAAAACCUCUCUCCGGUCCAGUGCUGGACUCCACUCCACCCUACUGCUUCUGC
rnacentral:lncRNA from 1 species